rnacentral:rRNA from 1 species
CCCGCACAAGCGGUGGAGCAUGUGGUUUAAUUCGACGCAACGCGAAGAACCUUACCAGGGCUUGACAUCCCCUGACCGCGUAUGAAAGUACGUUUUCACCCUCGGGUGACAGGGAGACAGGUGGUGCAUGGUUGUCGUCAGCUCGUGUCGUGAGAUGUUGGGUUAAGUCCCGCAACGAGCGCAACCCCUACGUUUAGUUGCUAACAGGUGAAGCUGAGCACUCUAGACGAACUGCCGUUGACAAAACGGAGGAAGUGGGAUGACGUCAAAUCAUCAUGCCCCUUAUGUUCUGGGCUACACACGUGCUACAAUGGCCGGUACAGACGGAGGCGAAGCCGCGAGGCGGAGCAAAUCCGAAAAAGCCGGUCUCAGUUCGGAUUGCAGGCUGCAAUUCGCCUGCAUGAAGUCGGAAUCGCUAGUAAUCGCAGGUCAGCAUACUGCGGUGAAUACGUUCCCGGGCCUU